UAGGAGUGCUGACUGAAUGGGAGAUUGAGGGGGUGCUUCCAGGGUGCAAGUAAUGUUAUUUCUUGAUCUGGGUGAUUACAUGUUUGUGUCCACCUUGUGAAAAUUAUUUGAGCUGUACAACAUAUGAUUUGUGCAUUUUUGUAUAUGUGUUAGAUACUAAACUUUUAAAAAAUAUAUUGGGUAAAAAGUGCUCAGAAAUGCUGCUUUUAUAAUCAUUACUUACCUGUCAUCUAAGAAAGUCAAUGUGUGUAAAUUAUGAAAAGUUUGAGGCUGCAGUGAGCUAUGAUUGUGCCACUGCACUCCAGCCUAGGCAACAGAGACCACAGCAAAAAAAAAAAAAAAAAAUUAUCAUAAUUUCUGUUUAUUGGCUGAAGUGAUCUCAUGACAAUCAUACCCAGUUGAGCCUUUGCACUAAACAUAGUUAUAUCAGUUGGGAAUUAAAUUCAACUGCAGGGAACCAAAAAACAAACAAACAAAAAAACAAAUAAAAGCGUCUCAGUCAAGACAGAGGUUGUUUUUCUUAAUGAGGAAUUUGAAGAAAGGCAGUCCAGAGCUAACAGGGCAGCACCACGGACAUCAGGUACCCAGUCUCCUUCUAGCUUUUCUCUCCACCAUCCUGAGAAUGUGACCUUCUUCCUCAUCCUCCCAAGGGGGA
rnacentral:lncRNA from 1 species